rnacentral:rRNA from 1 species
GACGAACGCUGGCGGCGUGCUUAACACAUGCAAGUCGAACGGAAAGGCCCUGCUUUUGUGGGGUGCUCGAGUGGCGAACGGGUGAGUAACACGUGAGUAACCUGCCCUUGACUUUGGGAUAACUUCAGGAAACUGGGGCUAAUACCGGAUAGGAGCUCCUGCUGCAUGGUGGGGUUGGAAAGUUUCGGCGGUUGGGGAUGGACUCGCGGCUUAUCAGCUUGUUGGUGGGGUAGUGGCUUACCAAGGCUUUGACGGGUAGCCGGCCUGAGAGGGUGACCGGCCAAAUUGGGACUGAGAUACGGCCCAGACUCCUACGGGAGGCAGCAGUGGGGAAUAUUGCACAAUGGGCGGAAGCCUGAUGCAGCAACGCCGCGUGCGGGAUGACGGCCUUCGGGUUGUAAACCGCUUUCGCCUGUGACGAAGCGUGAGUGACGGUAAUGGGUAAAGAAGCACCGGCUAACUACGUG